UACGUAGGGUGCAAGCGUUAAUCGGAAUUACUGGGCGUAAAGCGUGCGCAGGCGGUUUUGUAAGUCAGAUGUGAAAUCCCCGGGCUUAACCUGGGAACUGCGUUUGAAACUACAAGGCUAGAGUGUGACAGAGGGGGGUGGAAUUCCGACGUGUAGCAGUGAAAUGCGUAGAGAUGUGGAGGAACACCGAUGGCGAAGGCAGCCCCCCUGGGUACACUGACGCUCAGGCACGAAAGCGUGGGGAGCAAACAGG
rnacentral:rRNA from 1 species